CAGGCAAGAGCUCAGAUUUGAAAGCCUCUCGGGGCAUUGUAUUCUGAAGCCUUGAUUCUGAGAAACGGUACCUAAGUCUUCUGGAAAGGAGCGCCAAGGAGGGUGAUAGCCCCGUACGGUACUGACCUCAUUGUAGAAUCUUGGCGUGGAGUCGAGUUGUUUGGGAAUGCAGCUCAAAUGGGUGGUAUGCUCCAUCUAAAGCUAAAUAUCUGCGAGAGACCGAUAGCGAACAAGUACUGUGAAGGAAAGAUGAAAAGAACUUUGAAAAGAGAGUGAAAAAGUACGUGAAAUUGUUGAAAUGGAAGGAUAGGCCGCUAACCACGUAGAGCCGUGUCUGAGGGGAGGAUAAAAGCUGUAGAAUGUGACUCUUCGGAGUGUUAUAGCUGCAGUGCAUACUCCCACUCGGGCGCGAGGACCUAAGGCUCUGCUAAAUGGUGGUCUAUCACCCGUCUUGAAC
rnacentral:rRNA from 1 species